AUCUAGCUGACGAGUCCCGAAUAGGACGAAACGUGCAUCCUGAAU
rfam:Schistosoma mattheei strain Denwood, Zambia genome assembly, scaffold: SMTD_scaffold0000245